rnacentral:misc_RNA from 1 species
ACACACACACACACACACACAAAAUGAUAAGAGAAUUCUACAAGGGCAAUUCCAUUGAGCUAGUUUAGUACAGGAUUUUUAGUGGAGUAAACAAAAUAAGCACAUAGGGCGAUAUAUUUCAGUUGUACUCAAAGUCAUCACCAUCCCAUUAAUUUCAAUAACAACCUGCUCAAAGGAAUUCAAGGCAUUUAGCCAUUGAAAAGAAAAAGACACGCAAGCAGACACGCCGUUCAUAUAAACAAUUCCUAAACCGUCAAACAAGAUCCAAUCUUUUUUGUCCUUAAGUCCUCCAUAAGCUCCAAACAACUAUAAGGUUGCCAUUAACUAUUCAUUUCAAUAGAUCAACAAAUGAACAAAACAAGAAGCUAAAGUCUUCAAUCACAUUUGAAAAAGCUAACGUGAAAUUUAGAUCUAGUUUCCUAAUUCAAGAUCCAUUAUUCAAUUCUCAAAAAUCCCAGAACAACCCAUUACUCCAACAAGAUCUAAUUCAUAAUCCCACCACUAACCAAACAUCCUAAG